CCGAAUGGGGAAACCCAGUGUGAYUCGUCACACUAUCAUUAACUGAAUCCAUAGGUUAAUGAGGCGAACCGGGGGAACUGAAACAUCUAAGUACCCCGAGGAAAAGAAAUCAACCGAGAUUCCCCCAGUAGCGGCGAGCGAACGGGGAGGAGCCCAGAGCCUGAAUCAGCAUGUGUGUUAGUGGAAGCGUCUGGAAAGGCGCGCGAUACAGGGUGACAGCCCCGUACACAAAAGCGCAUGUGCUGUGAGCUCGAUGAGUAGGGCGGGACACGUGGUAUCCUGUCUGAAUAUGGGGGGACCAUCCUCCAAGGCUAAAUACUCCUGACUGACCGAUAGUGAACCAGUACCGUGAGGGAAAGGCGAAAAGAACCCCGGCGAGGGGAGUGAAAAAGAACCUGAAACCGUGUACGUACAAGCAGUGGGAGC
rnacentral:rRNA from 1 species